GGCAUGAGGCUCCUUGCUCUUUGAGUGCUGCUGCUAUUACUGUGCCACCUGCUCCGCAGAAGAACACCAGCAUGGCAGCAAGAGAAGCCGGAGUGCUAAGGAGGAGUAAGGAGGGAGGGAGGGAUGGAGCUGGACUGAGGACUCAGGCCGAUGAUCCGAUCAAUUGUACACAAAGCUUCCAGGUCAAGCAAAGGAAAUUGCAGUAUCUCCGUCUCCUGACUUUUAGGGCCCUGAAAAGUUCUCUAAUCGUAUCCCGAAAACACCACUGAAGUUGCACCUUCAGGUGCUGGUGUUGAUCCAAAAGACUAACGUUGGACCGGGGUCCCAAGGGAAUGUCAUCUUCAUCUCCUCUCUGAUCACUGCCGCUGUCCUGCUCUUCUUCCGUCACUCCUUUGCGGCGGAUUUGCAUCAGUUUUUGUAACUGGUUAGAGAGAGAAAAACAAAGCUUUGACAUUUUUAAUUCAUUAAUGCAUACAUUAUGUUAAAUGGUUGGAGGACAAUGUCGAAAAAUAAGAAGAACACUUAAAAAAAAAAAAUCUCCCAAAAUAGGAGGAAAACAAAUAGAGGAAAAAGAGCAAAUGCCUCCUCUCUACAUUAGACAACACAGGAAAAAAACUUCAGCAGCAAAAGAAGGCAUAAGUAUUGACCAGAGAUCAUCUUAACUAACCACAAUUAUAAGUUUAUUAAACAAAUAGAAGAUCAAAUAAAUCCAGUAAACUACACCUGAGGGAAAUUAAGACAUUCAAGUCAAAUUAUAAAUAUUUUAUAAAAAGAAAUUCAACAAAGCAUUUCAAAGAUAAAUUAAUAUUUUAGAAGAAUUGAAAACUGUCUGCAAGCUUUACACCAUUUCAUAGUACAGAGACAUAUCCAUUGAGAAGGUGAAUUGAUUAUUUUUUAUCUUGUUUCAUAUGCAGGGGUUAGUUAGGGGUGUAUAUAAAUAAGCUCCUGCACUGAUCAAGCAAUCACUGUGCAGAAUGUUGUCGAGUUAGAAUUUUGAAUUCAUGCCAGAUGCACUCCAGGCUCUCGGGCAAUGGAAAAACUACAAAUCUUUAAAGUUAAAAGGGUAAGACGACAAAAAUAAUUAAAAAACGCUAGAAGGUUAGUUUUUUUAAUACUCUCCACAAACAGACAUUUUACAACAAAUUACAUUUAGAGUUUAAUGUUUAACAAUCCUGGAACAGAGAUUAAAUACUUAGAUAAACAGAGAGGGAACAUAUAUACAUAAAUAGCACAAUCUACCUUCUGUUGUUUCCUCUGCUUGAUGGGCACAUAGGGAACGUAGUCAUCAUCUGACAGUUCAGAAUCCACUUCCUCUUCACGUACUCUCUGGCCAGUGUCAAACAAUAUUUCUUAAUUAAUUAGAUGUAAAUAAAUUUCGGUUUUCGUUUCUCUUUA